rnacentral:lncRNA from 1 species
GUUUAGGAGUUGAGGAAAGAAGAUUAAAGAGCGCGAGGAGAUUUUAUAGACCAGUGGAAUACAGGCCUUGUGCAUAUGAAGAUCAGGUGACAAGUUUGCUGCCUACCAGCCUCCACAGCAAUAUGCCCUUUCACGGAGUUCUUCAUGUAUUUUGGAUAUUAACCCCUUAUCAGAUAUAUCAGGGAAUUCACCCCUGCUCGCCACGCCCCAGGCUGCAGACCAGUAAUGGUCCCUGGCCUGUUAGGAACUGGACUGCCCAGCAGGAGGUGAGUGUCCGGCCAGUGAGCAUUACCGCCUGAGCUCUGCAUCCAGUCAGAUCAGCAGUGGCAUGAGAUUCUCAUGGGAGUGUGAACCCUAUUGCGAACUGUGCAUGCAAGGGAUCUAGAUUGUGGACUUCUUAUAAGGCUCUAACUAAUGCUUGAGGAUCUGAGAGGGAACAGUUUCAUCCCAAAACCAUCCUCCUGUCCUUGGAUAAAUUGUCUUCCACAAAACCAGUUCCUGGUGCCAGAAAGGUUGGGAAUCACUGAGAUAUAAGGUUUGUAGAUAUUUUCUUCUAUUCCAUAGGUUGCCUUUUCACUAUGUUGUUUGCUGUGCAGUCAAGAUGUAUAGUCUUACCUGUUUAUUUUUAUUUUUGUUGCCUGUACUUUUGAUGUUACAGCCAUGAAAUUAUUACUAUGAUGAAUGUUAUGAAGCUUUUCCUGUAUGUUUUAUUCUAAAAGUUUUAGUUUCAGGUCUUACAUUUAAGUCUUUAAUCGAUGUUGAGUUUAUUUUUGUGUAUGUUGUAAGAUAAAGGUCCAAUUUUAUUAUUUUGCUGUUUUUCCCAGAACCAUUUGUUGACGAGACUAUCCUUUUCUCAUUGUGUAUUCUUGACACCCUUGUAAAAAAUUAGUUGACCAUUUAUGUGUAGAUUUAUUUCUUGGCUCUAUAUUUUGUUUCAUUUGUCUAUAUAUCUAUCUUUAUGCCAGAACCAUAUUGUUUUGAUUAUUUUUGUUUUGUAAUAUAUUUUGAAGCAAUAAAAUGUGAUGCCUC